GAUGAAGAACGCAGCGAAAUGCGAUAAUUAAUGUGAAUUGCAGAAUUCAGUGAAUCAUCGAAUCUUUGAACGCACAUUGCGCCCCUUGGUAUUCCGAGGGGCAUGCCUGUUCGAGCGUCAUUAUAACCCCUCAAGCUCAGCUUGGUGUUGGGGCCUGCCGCACGGGCAGCCCUUAAAAUCAGUGGCGGUGCCAUCUGGCUCUAAGCGUAGUAAUUCUUCUCGCUAUAGAGUCCCGGUGGAUGCUUGCCAUUAACCCCCAAUUUUCUAUGGUUGACCUCGGAUCAGGUAGGGAUACCCGCUGAACUUAGGCAUAUCAAUAAGCGGAGGA
rnacentral:misc_RNA from 1 species